AAACCAACAGGGAUUGCCCUAGUAACGGCGAGUGAAGCGGCAACAGCUCAAAUUUGAAAUCUGGCGUCUUUGGCGUCCGAGUUGUAAUUUGCAGAGGGCGCUUUGGCAUUGGCAGCGGUCCAAGUUCCUUGGAACAGGACGUCACAGAGGGUGAGAAUCCCGUACGUGGUCGCUAGCCUUUACCGUGUAAAGCCCCUUCGACGAGUCGAGUUGUUUGGGAAUGCAGCUCUAAAUGGGAGGUAAAUUUCUUCUAAAGCUAAAUACUGGCCAGAGACCGAUAGCGCACAAGUAGAGUGAUCGAAAGAUGAAAAGCACUUUGGAAAGAGAGUUAAAAAGCACGUGAAAUUGUUGAAAGGGAAGCGCUUGCAGCCAGACUUGCCUGUAGUUGCUCAUCCGGGUUUUUACCCGGUGCACUCUUCUAUAGGCAGGCCAGCAUCAGUUUGGGCGGUUGGAUAAAGGUCUCUGUCACGUACCUCCUCUCGGGGAGAACUUAUAGGGGAGACGUAAUGCAACCAGCCUGGACUGAGGUCCGCGNAUCUGCUAGGAUGCUGGCGUAAUGGCUGUAAGCGGC
rnacentral:rRNA from 1 species